rnacentral:lncRNA from 1 species
GUUACUUUUUUCCCUUAAAGAGUAACAUUAUUCUGCAUAUAAGGGAAAGCAGGUGACCUCCUGGGUGAAAAUCACUGAGGAGCUCAGAGGAGAUACAGGAAGUGAACCUUAUAAAAGUAACAGCUACUAAAACUGAGGAUGAAUUGAAAAGCUUUGUUAAAACACACACUCAUUGCAGUUCUUCUGAUUAAAACCCUAGAGACUGGACUUGUACCUCAGCAGUGUUCUGAGAAAAACUUGUCUGCAAAGGAGGCAAUGGCACAGCAGCUCAGGAUUCAGAAACUCAGCCAGGGACUGAGCUUGGGCUCUGAACUGAGAGUUUGCCUUCAGAAGGGCUCCAGAGAGGCAAUAAUAAUAUAAUAGAAUAAAAGAACCUUCCAGGAAGUCUAGCUGCACUUUUCCCCCUUCAAUUUUAUUUAUUUUGUGGAUAUUGAGACCCUGUUCAGGUCAUGGACACUCUGCAGCCCAAGGCACUUAAACAGGAGAAAUAUUGACCCAACACUGAGUGAAGAUCAAGUGAAUAUGACAAAAUAAACCCACCAUAGGAUUCCUUGUAUUCUAGGAGGAAGACACCAAAUACCAAAGAGUCUGAAACCACAGCUCUCCAAAAAGCAUUUCAAGAGAGAAUGGCCUGUUUUUAUUGUGUCAAUAUUGUAGUAACCUACAAUACACUGCAGGCUUUGGUGAUGAUUUCAGAUUGAGCAGGAUAAUUAACAAGAUUAGAUAUGCACCAUGGAAUGUUACUGAAAUGGAAUGGAAUUACCCUUCUCUGAAAAAGAAAUGUUUGCCUCACUAAAGAGAUUGGUAUUUCUCACUUAGAGACUUUCUCAGAAUGUUCUGCUUAUGGAAAACUGCUCCAGAAAUGCAAACCUUGCACCUGAGCUUGCAGCAGCCUCACCUGCAGCCACCAAGAGGAAAUUCCUGCAGCCACCAGGAGGAAAUUCCUGCUGCACAUGGAGCUGCACCAGCCUGCAGGAGGGAGGAAAAAAAAAUCCCUGUGCACUGGAAUAUAAUCUCAAGACAUUGGAAUUGAAUUUUCUGGACCUUGGGAGAUAA